rnacentral:rRNA from 1 species
GGGCCCGCACAAGCAGCGGAGCGUGUGGUUUAAUUCGAGGCUACACGAAGAACCUUACCUGGGUUUGACAUGAGGCUAGUAGGGAAGCGAAAGCAGACCGACCCGCAAGGGAGGCCUGACAGGUGCUGCAUGGCUGUCGUCAGCUCGUGCCGUGAGGUGUUAGGUUAAGUCCUGUAACGAGCGCAACCCCCGGGUCUAGUUACACGUUGUCUAGACCGACUGCCCGUGACAAGCGGGAGGAAGGUGGGGACGACGUCAAGUCAGCAUGGCCUUUAUAUCCAGGGCUACACACACGCUACAAUGGCCGGUACAAUGGGUCGCCAAGCCGCAAGGCGGAGCCAAUCCAGACAAAGCCGGUCACAGUUCGGAUUGGGGGCUGCAACCCGCCCCCAUGAAGUCGGAGUUGCUAGUAACCGCGGGUCAGCCAUACCGCGGUGAAUACGUUCCCGGGCCUU